AACAAUGAAGUCCAAAAUGCAUCCUCUUAUCACAUAAACCUUGUUCUCCCCCGCCGCACCGAAGAUUGAAUCUGGCGGCGGAGGCACCUCAAAGACCAUAGUCAAUACAUCAUCUAAAGUAGUUUCCCCCUGGAUCUAAAUAUUUCCAUAACAAACCCAAAUUCCUCAAGGAAAACUCAAAUCGAAGCAAGCAACUAAAGAACCCUAGAAAAUCAAGCAGAAAUUAAAUCAUAUUCUCUCGGAAUCAAAGCCCUCAGGGCCAAGGCUUUGAUUCCCCUAACCGAACUUUACAUCUCGGUAACAAAAACAAGGCAAACGACUAUGAAAAACAAGAACUCAUCGGAGAAGACGCAGAACAUCGGAAUCAGAUAUGAAGGUUGCAAUGUUUGGGAAUUUCUAUGCUAUGCUCAUUUGCUGCUGCUUGGGAAUGGCCUACGCUGCUAGUUACAUGGAGUCUUGUUCUUUAGUUUGUUGAGCAAGUUUGCAAGUGGAAACCUGGCUUGGAGUUUUUAUGUUAUGAGCUUUGUUGAUUCGUUAUGUUGUUUGAAACAUUAGGGACCAUUUGGAAUUAAAUUGGGAAAUUGGUAUUGAUGUUUGGACUGUGGUAAUUGUGAAUGGGAUUGAGUUAUGGAAAGUUGUAUUGAAUGGUUUAUCAAAUUGUGAAUGUGGACGAAUUUGAAUAUGGAAAAUUGUAUUGAAUUUGUAUGGAAAGUGUAUUAAAUUACAAGUUGAAAUGUGUAUUGUUUGAAUUGUAUUGGA